AAUCGCCAUCAAAGAUUCAUUCUGCGAACCUUGACCGACGGCCAGAUAGGAAUUCAUGCCCAGUUCUUUCAUCUGCUCUUCGCCAAUGACUUUGGUCGUCAGAUUGGCAGCGUUAUCGGCGAGCUGACGUGCCUGUGAUGCCAGAUACGCGGCAUUGCAGAUGUUGGGUGGCAUAUUGGCCAAAUCUUUCGU
rnacentral:antisense_RNA from 1 species